ACAGAACAGUAUGCAGCGUGUCAGCUGACACUGGUGUUGGUUUCACGAUCCGAAGGAAAUGGAAUAUAAUUGCCGUCCUUGUCACACCUUGAGCAUUAUGAGCUCUGGUAUCGAGACUUUAGUGGAGGAGCUCUGCUCCAGACUGAAAGACCUUCAGAGUAAGCAAGAAGAGAAGAUUCACAAAAAGUUAGAGGGGUCUCCCUCUCCAGAGGCAGAAUUAUCCCCUCCAGCAAAGGAUCAAGUGGAAAUGUACUAUGAAGCAUUUCCACCACUUUCUGAGAAACCAGU
rnacentral:sRNA from 1 species